rnacentral:tRNA from 1 species
UCCUGGGUGGCUUAGUGGGUUAAGUGUUUGACUUUGGCUCAGGUCAUGAUCUUGCAUUUUGUGAGUUUGAGCCUCACCUCAGGCU